AUUGAACGCUGGCGGCAUGCUUUACACAUGCAAGUCGAACGGUAACAGGGAGCUUGCUCCGCUGACGAGUGGCGAACGGGUGAGUAAUGCGUCGGAACGUGCCGAGUAGUGGGGGAUAACGCAGCGAAAGUUGUGCUAAUACCGCAUACGUACUGAGGUAGAAAGUGGGGGACCUUCGGGCCUCACGCUAUUCGAGCGGCCGACGUCUGAUUAGCUAGUAGGUGAGGUAAAGGCUCACCUAGGCGACGAUCAGUAGCGGGUCUGAGAGGAUGAUCCGCCACACUGGGACUGAGACACGGCCCAGACUCCUACGGGAGGCAGCAGUGGGGAGUAUUGGACAAUGGGCGAAAGCCUGAUCCAGCCAUGCCGCGUGUGUGAAGAAGGUCUUCGGAUUGUAAAGCACUUUAAGUUGGGAGGAAGGGUCGUUACCUAAUACGUGACGAUUUUGACGUUACCGACAGAAUAAGCACCGGCUAACUCUGUGCCAGCCGCCGCUGUAACAC
rnacentral:rRNA from 1 species